GACGUAGGGCGCGAGCGUUGUCCGGAUUUAUUGGGCGUAAAGAGCUCGUAGGCGGCUUGUCGCGUCGUCCGUGAAAACCUGCAGCUCAACUGCAGGCUUGCGGUCGAUACGGGCAGGCUGGAGUUCGGUAGGGGAGACUGGAAUUCCUGGUGUAGCGGUGAAAUGCGCAGAGUAUCAGGAGGAACACCGGUGGCGAAGGCGGCAUCCUGGACCGGCAUUGACGCUGAGGCGCGAAAGCCAGGGGAGCAAACGGG
rnacentral:rRNA from 1 species